rnacentral:tRNA from 1 species
CGGGACAUAGUAUAGUGGUAGUAUACACGCUUCGGGUGCGUGAGACUUGGGUUCGAUUCCCAAUGUCCCGA